rnacentral:misc_RNA from 1 species
AAAUGCGAUAAGUAAUGUGAAUUGCAGAAUUCCGUGAAUCAUCGAAUCUUUGAACGCACAUUGCGCCCUCUGGCAUUCCGGGGGGGAUGCCUGUCCGAGCGUCAUUACGCACCCUCAAGCCCGGCUUGUGUGAUGGGCCCCGGCGUCUCGUUCGCGAGACGGGCCCGAAAGGCAGCGGCGGCGUCGACCCGAUGAGCCCGAGCGUAUGGGGACUUCUGUCACACGUUCGCGGUGCGGACCGGCGCCUGCUUGACUUUUCUGAUUAUCCAGGUUGACCUCGGAUCAGGUAGGGAUACCCGCUGAACUUAAGC